rnacentral:tRNA from 1 species
GGACCACUGGUGUAGUGGUUUGACUGUUGGACUACAACUCCAGAGACCAGGGUUCAAUUCCCAGCUUGGCCA